UGAACCACCUGAUCCCUUCCCGAACUCAGAAGUGAAACCUCUUUGCGCUGAUGGUAGUGUGGGGUUACCCAUGUGAGAGUAAGUCAUCGCCAGCUC
rnacentral:rRNA from 2 species